AAAAAAAACCCUCUCACUUCUCCAGUCCUCCUCCCUCUGCUGUCACCACCACCGCCACCGCCAUCGCCACCCUCAGUUUCUACUUCUUACCCAAACCACAUCUGCAUGCCCACCUUCAUCUUUGCUUUGACUCUCCUCUUUUUCUAGUUGACGAAGCGAACCUUCAACCGUUUCAUGGGUUUUGUGAAUCUUUGUUUUCUUCUUCCUCUAAACUUGCAUGCGAUUCUUCUAUUCUGUUGGGUUUGCUGAAGAAGAAAGAAACAAUGAUGCUCUUGUAUAUGUUAUCUAUCAGAUGUGUUACAUGUUUGUCACGGCAAGCAUGCAAGACCAAAUUAUGCAACAUUUUUGGAGAGACAUUGAUAGGGAUCAAGUUAAACACAUCCACUUUGAUAAGGAGAUGAAGAUGAAGUUUAAGUCCCAUGUAUUUUAAUAUUAGUUUAGAUUGGGUUUAAUAAGCUUUAGCUAGCUUAUAGUGUUGGGUAGAUUCUCAUAGAAUGCUUAUCAAUUGCUUGCAAUGUUGAUUUAUAUUCAGCCACAUGGAAUAAAUAAUGUUUGAUUAGUUUA